CUAGAAAUAUUUAUUAUUCUUAAUGCAAUAAAGACCAUGGGAAGUGAUGAUAAAGGAAAUGCGCAGAAAGGAUGGCAAUGUGUGUGAAUGCGUGAUGUAUACCAUCAAAUGAUGUGACAGAAAAUAAUAAAACAAUAGCAAUUUCCUGUCACCUGAAAACUAACGGGACAAUUUGCAUACUGUCGUUGUAUCUUGGGUCACCUUUGUGGUUGGAUGUAAAUUAGAUGUGGCCGCUCCCAUGGUGUAGGACGUCACAAGGUACAGUUCUGGUGUUUCUCGGUCAAGUAACUCGGGAAACAAAGCACUAUGAUAAGGCAUUAGAAAAUUAUGGUCUGGACAGAAUUUCAACACUGAUGUCAGAAUUUUUAAAAGCUUCCGCCAAACAAUGAUAUGAAGAUGUAUUGGGAUGGAUUAAAACAGGUUUGCAGUACAGUGGCUGUCUGCUAGAGCUGUAGUAGAUGGGAU